UGCAGUCGAGCGGUAGAGAGAAGCUUGCUUCUCUUGAGAGCGGCGGACGGGUGAGUAAUGCCUAGGAAUCUGCCUGGUAGUGGGGGAUAACGUUCGGAAACGGACGCUAAUACCGCAUACGUCCUACGGGAGAAAGCAGGGGACCUUCGGGCCUUGCGCUAUCAGAUGAGCCUAGGUCGGAUUAGCUAGUUGGUGGGGUAAUGGCUCACCAAGGCGACGAUCCGUAACUGGUCUGAGAGGAUGAUCAGUCACACUGGAACUGAGACACGGUCCAGACUCCUACGGGAGGCAGCAGUGGGGAAUAUUGGACAAUGGGCGAAAGCCUGAUCCAGCCAUGCCGCGUGUGUGAAGAAGGUCUUCGGAUUGUAAAGCACUUUAAGUUGGGAGGAAGGGCAGUUGCCUAAUACGUAACUGUUUUGACGUUACCGACAGAAUAAGCACCGGCUAACUCUGUGCCAGCAGCCGCGGUAAUACAGAGGGUGCAAGCGUUAAUCGGAAUUACUGGGCGUAAAGCGCGCGUAGGUGGUUUGUUAAGUUGGAUGUGAAAUCCCCGGGCUCAACCUGGGAACUGCAUUCAAAACUGACUGACUAGAGUAUGGUAGAGGGUGGUGGAAUUUCCUGUGUAGCGGUGAAAUGCGUAGAUAUAGGAAGGAACACCAGUGGCGAAGGCGACCACCUGGACUGAUACUGACACUGAGGUGCGAAAGCGUGGGGGAGCAAACA
rnacentral:rRNA from 1 species